rnacentral:lncRNA from 1 species
UUGUGGUGCCAAGAAUGAAAAUGAAGGUGGAAUUUUACCAGAGAACUUGUUGUAGGAAAUAUCCAGUGACUUGAAAAUAUUUGGAAUUUCACCGGAAAGUCGAUUAUUCUGAAGAUUCAAAUUGGUCAAAUUCUUUAAUCGUUGGAUUCCAUAAGGAAUUCCAUAGGAAAGUUUGUUAUCAUUUCUAAAAGAGUGAAUUGAGAAAUGGAGCUGGGAAUUGGACCUGUGAAUUGAUUUCUUAGAAGGCUCAAAGCACAAACCAACUAUUCGAUUAGAUUUAGGGUUUUUGCCAAAAGAAACUGGGCCUGAAAGUUUGUUAUUUUCAAUGAAAACCUGUUCUAACAUGGCAGUUGGUUGCCACUUUCUGUCUGGUGACAAAUAACGUGGCACAUGUCACAUGACGAAGCUGUUGCUAACACCAAGGCUUUAACGGUCAGUUGGCGUGCAGUACACUGCAGUUGGGUCCAUAACUUGCACAGCUGCUCUGGUGCAGUUGUCCUCGUUUUGUACUCCAUUUUACUAACGCAAAUUUUUCAUUUUAUUCGAAUAAUUGUUGUUAAAUGCAUUUAGUUAGUAUUUGCAGAAUGCAGAUAGGUGUACUAGUGAGGCUGGCAAUUAAAGCCUGAUUCUGUUGUGUCACUCCCUCACUCACUUGUGUCGAUUCAUAAUAUGAUUUCCCUCCCCACUGGAUCAUCCACUUAAACGUCAGAUCAUCUAAAUGUACCUCAUAAAAUAUGUACCCAAUAUCAACCAAACUAAUAGCUGUACGCAUUUCGUACAUAAUUUUAUGUUUGCAUAAUUUUUAGUAACUAAAAAAAAUUUAAUAUUUAUCUUUUAUAUUUAGAUAGAUGAAAAAAAAAUAUCAAUUAAAUAUUUAUAUCUCUCUAUAUAUAUAUCAAAUAAAUGUUUUAUGGGUGGGAGGUAUGGUAAUUUAAAUUAAUAAUAAAAAUAUUUAAAUAGAGGUAUUUUAGGUAUAAUAAUUUUUUUUUGGUUAUGGGCUUUUUUGUCAUGGGCCAGAUAUAUUAUUGGGUUUGGAUUAAUGAUUAUGGAUAAAACCGGCCCAUAAAUAAACACCUGUGUCGCUAACUUUGAAUCAGGUUACGGGAGGACAUUGCUGACGUAAUUUUACUGUUCACGGGGCUGUUCUCUUUAGAGCAUUCCCAAUGGUAGGUUUUAAAAUACUUUUAGACACUUUUAGUAAAAAACUCUUGCCAAUGGUAGCUUUUAACACAUUUUUCAAGUAAAACACUUUUAACUCCUUGGCAAAUUUGCCAAGGACUUAAAAGUGCCACGUAGGAUUUUUUAGCUAGUUAAACAUUAAAUUUACUCAUAAUGUACACUGUUUUUUUUUGGAAAAAUAAAAUAUUAAGUUUUAAUACUUAUUUUAAAACCAACCAUUGGAAACUCUAAAACCACUAAUCACUUUUAACAUUAAUUUUAUGCUAAAACCUUUCCUCUCUCUCCUAUGUGGCACCCCUAAAACCCUUUUACCAUUGGGAAUGCUCUUAGUAGUAAAGAUGAGUGAGAACAAUUUCCUGCAUGGAGGCAAUAGUCAAACAGCUGACUCAGCUUGCAAUGGUUUUGGAUACUGCCGUUCAAUGGUGAGGGACACGCACAAAGGUUGGGCUGAAGAGUUGGACCACCCACGAGGCCACGAUGUUUGCCUGGACAUGUAUUAUUUUGGGCUGACGUACUACUGGCGUUAAGAGUUAGAGAUGGGUUUUAGUAGAUUCACUAGACAAAUGGAGGGAACAAAUGUAUCGAUCAACAUCAGCUAGGUAACAAGGUGUCAAGGUUUAAUGUGUAUUAGCAACUAGCAAGACAACGUCCAUUUCGAUUUAAUCACUACAAAAAAAAUUAUGCCUAUUCCAACUUAUUAAUUGAAAUGCGAAAGACAUUGAAGUUUUUUUCAAGUGAUCGACAUUCAGAGGUAUGUAGAAUGGAAAUCCAAGCACAAGGCUUUUAUGUUAAAACAUGGAAACAAACAAUGUGUGCUUCAUCUUGCUUAGUUGUAUUCAAAAGAGAAUGCAAACCAGGCCCAAGCCCAGUGUUGGAAUAAAGAUCAACAUUAAUCAUCACUGAUAUGUCCCAAUUAUUUUCUUAUUACACUAUGAUAUCAGUUCAAACUAAUAGAUGAUAAUACAUUUAUACAUCCAACUCUCAACAUUAUUCAUCAAUCUAUGUAUGUAUUUUACGUACUUGUAAUAUUGUGUGUUACAAAUCAAGCAGUACUAUCUCUUGCAUGGAGGCAGAGGAGAACCACAGAGACGAUCAUUUCCUAUAAAUGAUUCAACUGGGAACUUUGUUCUUGUUGUUGGAAUUGGCCCACUCAGUUGAUUGUAUGACAGGUCAAGCUCGUCAAGCUUUUGAAAAUUCUUAAGGUAAUCAGGGAUUCUACCAGUUAAAGCGUUAUGGCUAGCCCUGAAAACUUGAAGUUGUGGUGCCAAGAAUGAAAAUGAAGGUGGAAUCUCACCAGAGAGUUUGUUGUAGGAAAGAUACAACUCUCUAAGAGCAAGUGACUUGAAAAAAUCUGGAAUCUUGCCAGAAAGUUGAUUGUUCUGGAGUCUCAAAUAUGUCAUAUUUCUCAAAUGCCGAAUACCAUAAGGAAUCCCACCAGAAAUUUUGUUGUCAUCAAGAUCAAGCUCAAGUAAGUGAGUGAAUUGAGAAAUAGAGUUUGGAAUUGAACCUGUGAAUUGGUUACCAUAUAGAUUCAAUAAUUGAAACCGAUCAGAUUUUGGGCCUAUAUCAAUAUGAAGUUGACCAGAAAGUUUGUUGUUUCUUAUGAAAACAAACUGUAGCCUUGGAAGAUUGAAUAUUUCUUUCGGUAGAGUGCCGGUAAUGUUUGUAUAUUGAAUGGAUAUAUGGCUUAACCGCAGAACUUUAAUGAAUAGUGAAGGGGAAAUUGUGCCUGUUAAGAAGCUACUUGUAUUAGUAGAAUCUCCAUAAAGGGAUAAUUCGGUGACUCGGUCUGUAUUGAUGCAGUAUAUGCCGGACCAACUGCAACAAUCUGUAUCGGGUAUCCAUGAGCUAAGCAUGCCCGAUGGAUCUUGAGUCAUUCCCGAUUUGAAUGCUAGUAGACCAGCUUCAUCAUCCACAUGGCAUUUUGCAAAGCAAAGUGGAGAUAAAACUGUGAGCAAGAGAACAAGUACUAGAGCAAGAUGAUGAGUAGUAGAAGUGAAAGCCAAUGCCAUAACGAAAUGAUA